GGGAUGGCUAUUUGUCAUGCCAGCUGAUCUUAUUUUUGGGCAUCUCAGCAGCUGUCAUCACCUCAUCACUUAAUCAGACCACUCCUAGGCAGUGAGACAUAAGAGAGGCACAUCCCACCCCUGGGUGGUAGUAUUUAGUUGUGGUUUUUCUUGCUUUUUGUUUAGUUUUUGAUUUCUUUGGACUAGGCUUAUCUUUUUGCUAUAUGUUUGUAAAAGCAUCUAGUAGAAUGAGCACCUUGAUCUAUGGCUAGGGUACCUUGGCAAGUUUUAUAAUGCAAGUACCCAUCUGUAAAGGGAAAGAUGAAUUUCUUCCUGCUUCCCUCAGAAACCAACCUGCAUAUAUCCGUGCUCUAUGGCACAGAAUACAGAAUGAGCAAGAAGGAUGGCAUCAGCUGUGUGCCCAUCUGCCUUGAAGAGAUUUGCUAUCGGUGACCAUGUACCCAUCUGCAUUGAGAAGCUUUGCCAAAGGGUAAAAAUAUUCGGACUCCAGAUAGUCCCAUCAAUUCAAAAAGAGCCUUGAGAAGCAACAAACUGAAUGUCAUUAUGUCACAGAGAAUCUAACGUACACAUCGGAGAGGGACUGUCUUUAAAUGUGCGCCCCUGCCAGCAGGAUGAAGCAAACAGAAGGCUAAUAAAACACAGCAUCGUGUGCUAUCAAAAGGGCAUCUCAGCCUGAUUUGCUCAUAAAAACCUUCCGGCAAAUUUCUGCUUGGUUACAGUGGAGAAAAUCUUCAUAAAUUUCAUUGACUUUGAUGGGUUUACUCCAGACUUGUGCCAGGUGCAUUACACUGUAUAUAAGAUCCUGAAUGAUUUGGAGUGGAGCCCCUAUCUCUGCUUGUUUUGUGCAAUGCAUCCAGUAUGUGCGCUGAAGAAACAGCAGCAAAAUAGAAGAGAGAAACUUGAGUUGGCAAGUACUAUGCUAUAAUACAUAUGGAAAAUGCUAAAUGGGCUGCUCUUUGCUUUGGAUACAAAGAAUUAACGGGAGAGCCUUAUUAGAUAUUAAUUCUUACUGCAAACACCUGGCUGCAGCAGUCAUUAAAAAAACUCUGGCAUGAUGCAAUGUUCUGAUAUGUUAAUCACAUUUCCAUAUGGUGCAGCGUUUUCCUAAGUAUCAUUUGAACUCUGUAACUCAAAGCAAAUACAUAUUUAUGAUUUGAAAAUAGCUGACUGAAUAAUUGCACAUUUAAGUAACUUCUGUUUCCUUGUUAACAACAACAAAAAAAAGUCAUUAUAUUAUUUCUGCUAAAUAGCAAUAGGGGGAAAUAAAGUCAUUAUUUAUGGGGGCAAUUUAUACUAAUUUCACUCUUCAUGAUGUUCAUGUCCAGAUGUUGAGGAGAUCAAACAGAGGACAGGUGUGAAUAAUGGAAACUAGCCAUUCCCAGAGGCUUGAAUAUCCUUCUGUGUAGUCUUAAGGAUGGCAAGUCUAUUACUUUCUCACCUACAGCCAUAAAACCCCAAGCUCUGUUCACAAUCUAGUCACUACAUGGACAGGGAAGCUUCAAGGACAUCACUAAAUGGCACUAGGAGCUCAGGAGCUGUCAUGCUUCACCUAGAGUUAAUAGCCAGCAUGUUGCUGCCCUGGGGAGUGAGGUUGUGCUAUAUCAAGGGUGUUAACUUUUGCACACGAGAAAAUAUAACAAUCCUUAUUUCUUGUUAUGGAAGAAGCCCUGGAAUUCUUCACGCGGGAGAGAUGUUAGCUGCAUUCCCCUAGCCAGGCUCCUGCUUGGGGAGCUGUGCAUCCCGCAUGUAAACCCUCCUUGCAGUUUCAGUGAAUUCAUGUUUUGUUUUCCACUUCCUACUUGUGUUCCCGGUUGCAGCGUGUUCCUUUAUUCAGAGGUGUUAAUAUUUAAUUGACAAGAUACAAAUCAGCUUGCUCUCUUUUUCCAGCAUGCUGCCCCCAUGUGUGCUGGACUUCCUGUAAUACAUAGGUGGGGGGGGGGGGUGGUCCUCUAUGGCCCAAGUUUUCUUUGGCUGUCUUGGGUAUGGUAAUGCCUGGGUCCUUCCCCCCAUUACCCUGGGGUGUUUGUGACUCAUUGAACAGCUCCUGUGUUCUCCCAAGAGCUGACAGCGUUUUGGUUGUGAAUGAAUUUCCUCGUGUGUAUGUAGUUACACAUGCAUGCUUUUUUUUUUUUUUUUAAAGUCAGAUUUCUAUGGAUGGGAUGUGAUUCUGAUUAAUAAGUAGGGCUUGAAGUAUUUUUUAAAAGACUUUUUUAUGGGAAUAGCUCUUAGCAAUCAAGAGAUAUAAAGAGAUCCAGUUCAGCUGAUUUCCUUGUGAAUUAAAAUGCAUAAUAUGUCUUGUGCUCAAUACAUUUUUGAGGGUAUAAAACUUGUUUACAGGAUCUGGAGCUUGAAACACUGCAUAUAUGAAGUUUUAUUUUAGCUACACUUCUCUUUUAACUAUCGACGGAGAAACAGCCUCAAACAAUAAACCAAAUGGCACACAGCAUUCAUGGAUUUUGGACUGGGAUGCACGGCAUAAUUUUGUUGCAAAGGCCAAAAAGUAAAAAUCUUAAAGGGCUCUGGGGUCUCUUAGAUAACGAAAUGUUUAGUAUUUUGGAUGAAGGCUCCUUAAUAUAGUGUAGCAGCACAGAUGAAAAUUGUAUUCCGUCUUUAAUGAUAGCGGUGGAUUAUGAAAUGAAACUUGGUAACAGACUCAAACCUGCG